AGCAGAGUGGGAUAGUGGUUUUUGCAUUGGACUAGGACCCUGGAGGCCAGGGUUCAAUUCCCAACUCAUCAA